UCAGACAACACUGACAUUACAUUUUGGCCUUUGACAGAGCUUCAUCGGUUUUCUGACCCACUCUGGUGUCUCAGGCCCUGUCCCAACUAUGCCAAGCAGCCUCUACUCACUGCUAGUAGUUCCAACCUAUGCAGAUGCUGCUCAUCUGCUCUGUACCGUUUAUUCUUUUUGAUUCCACAACAGAUGAAGAUGAAGAAGUACUCACACUGGGCUGCUUUCCUGUGAUCCCUCAUCCACACUUCUUCCUGCAGGGAACUCCAAAUCUUUCUUGGUCGAAAGAGGAUCUAACCCAGGAGGAUUGGAGGACUCUGAGUAGGGGAAAGCACAGCUCAUUCUGAAAGGUGAGACGUGAUACACCAAGCAAUAAAAGACUGCUGGAGCACUGAGCAUGAAGUCAUGCACCAGCUGUUCUUGCAGGUUCCAUGCACAGAACUGAAGGCAGUGGGAAGGCUGUUGGAGUUGGGGAAAUGCAGCCCUGCACUGUAGCACUGACUCUCCAACUGUCCACAGCCAGUUCUGGGCACGGAGAUGAGGACAAGGACUUCUCAGGUUAUGUGGAUUGUAAAACAAGUUAUACGAGAGAUCAUGAAACUAUAGAACCUCAAAGGAACUACUGUGUUUUUUCUGCCGGUGUAUGGAUCCCCUUUCUCCCUGGAUCACAUGAAAGUGUUCUAUUAAUGUGAAUUGGCUUAUGUUUGAGAACACUAUGCUGGAGAGCUAUGAAGUGUAAGGAAUCUGACCCAGGGAUCUGCAGGGCUGUGACACAUCAGUUCUUUACAGGAAUUCUCAGUUGCUGGUUGAGAAUAACACAAGAUAGGUUUGGUACACGGCGUGCAGUCUGCUGUCAUUGUUGAUGUUAGUAAACCUUUUGCCUAAGGCAGUGAGACAAGUUCUGUGAUACACCACUGUAACUGGAAUUUUCCCCUCUGGCAGUCACUCCAGGACUGCAGUGCCAAGUGUCAGGCUGCCUCUCCACCCGACUAACUCAGUAAGUUGGGAAAACUAUUCACCACUAAAACACACACAGCCACAGCAUGGCUGGAAGCAAUAGCUGCAUCAAGAAAAACACUGCAAGUCAGCACUGCUCUGCAUAUUUCCUGAGGAAUGCAUUGCUGGAGUUCAGAACAAACAUUCGAGGUCUGGGAUUGCUACGAGAGAACCUGGCAGAAGAAAAGUCUCCACCACCAUUCCGUUCUAAACCUCUUUGCCAGUGUUUAGUCUUCUCUCGUCCACACACUUGGCAAAGAGGGAAAGCAGCCCGUCUCUUCUCACUGCGGAUAAGAUGGAUCUCUCAGCCCACUUGUCUGAAUGCAGUAGUAGAAGACAGACACACAACUGCGUUUUCUUUUGCUCCAGAGGGAGCAAAUCUGACCUACUUUACCCACAACUGGAACAUUAUCUUCGUGAUUCUUUCAGGAAAAAUACAUGCUGCUGCAGUAUAGGUGACUCAACUAUAAAAUCCCAUACCAGGGGUGGGAGAGAAAAGAAAGGAAACCCACACCAAACACCAAAAUGACUUUAAGUAGAACACGUCUUCUGUUCCAUCAUUCCUCUGAAAGAUCCUCCCUUGGAAUAUAUUAUUUCAGACAGGAAAAAGUUGUUCCUUUCUUCAUAGAUUAAGUUACAUGCCUUUAACCGCACGUAAUAAAAACAGAAUGAAUUCAGUGCAAUGUGUGAAGAAAUGACUGAAUUGUUAGCAUAAAGCCAAUCACAGAAGCACUUAGGUUUAACAACACUGUUUGCAUAGUGUUGGCAACGUCUGAAAGGUGAUAACUGCCAGAGACUGCCAUAAGGAAAAGGGAAUUCCUAUGGAUUUUCUGAAGAAGAGAGAAAUUACUGCCAUAUCAGAAGUUCAGUGUCCAAAUAACUGCAUACAGUUAUGCACAAUAUUGUGGCCACAACUCCACAGAGCACUAACUGCCUUUUCAUCGUUGUUGUUGCAAAAACACGUUCUGCAUUUGACUUUAAUUCCUUUGUUUUUCCAUUAGAAACGCAUUGGCCAGACCACCAAGGCAGCAGCAGUCUGGCUAUUCUCCACUCUGAUGCAUCAUUGAUAACGCUUUGCCAUGUUAUGGCAUGUCUGAGACAAAGAGCAAUCUGUGUAACCGAUGAAUAAAAGGCUCUGCGAGAAAGGUCAGCCGUGGAUUCCAAGAAAGCAAGCAUCAUCUGAAGCACAAGACUGAUGUUUGUCUGAGGCUGGAUAAAUGCAUUUCCUCUGCAAUGCCCUGAGCCUGGCAGGCCGCACUGAGCCGCGCACCGCUUCACCUUUCACAACUUUCAGUCCUGAACAAAGCGGUCGCCCUAAGAAGCUUCGGAUCGGCAUCGCGACAGCAAGAGGUGAUCAGCCUUAUUAACGCAAGAGGCGACCACCUUUAUGAAGGCAGGAGCGAGCACCUUCAUUAAGGCAGGAGGUGCGCGGGCUGCUGGACUGCGGCGCAUCUGCGCCCUCUCCCGGUUCACCCGUUGUAGCGGAUGAUGACACGCGCUGCGCGCGGCAUUCACCGGAAAUAACCGCUGCGGGCGGUUUGA